rnacentral:rRNA from 1 species
GAUCAUGGCUCAGAUUGAACGCUGGCGGCAUGCCUUACACAUGCAAGUCGAACGGCAGCACGGGAGCAAUCCUGGUGGCGAGUGGCGAACGGGUGAGUAAAGUAUCGGAACGUGCCCAGUCGUGGGGGAUAACGUAGCGAAAGUUACGCUAAUACCGCAUACGAUCUAUGGAUGAAAGCGGGGGGUUCGCAAGACCUCGCGCGAUUGGAGCGGCCGAUAUCAGAUUAGGUAGUUGGUGGGG